AGAGUUUGAUCCUGGCUCAGGACGAACGCUGGCGGCGUGCCUAAUACAUGCAAGUCGAGCGGACAGAUGGGAGCUUGCUCCCUGAUGUUAGCGGCGGACGGGUGAGUAACACGUGGGUAACCUGCCUGUAAGACUGGGAUAACUCCGGGAAACCGGGGCUAAUACCGGAUGGUUGUUUGAACCGCAUGGUUCAAACAUAAAAGGUGGCUUCGGCUACCACUUACAGAUGGACCCGCGGCGCAUUAGCUAGUUGGUGAGGUAACGGCUCACCAAGGCAACGAUGCGUAGCCGACCUGAGAGGGUGAUCGGCCACACUGGGACUGAGACACGGCCCAGACUCCUACGGGAGGCAGCAGUAGGGAAUCUUCCGCAAUGGACGAAAGUCUGACGGAGCAACGCCGCGUGAGUGAUGAAGGUUUUCGGAUCGUAAAGCUCUGUUGUUAGGGAAGAACAAGUACCGUUCGAAUAGGGCGGUACCUUGACGGUACCUAACCAGAAAGCCACGGCUAACUACGUGCCAGCAGCCGCGGUAAUACGUAGGUGGCAAGCGUUGUCCGGAAUUAUUGGGCGUAAAGGGCUCGCAGGCGGUUUCUUAAGUCUGAUGUGAAAGCCCCCGGCUCAACCGGGGAGGGUCAUUGGAAACUGGGGAACUUGAGUGCAGAAGAGGAGAGUGGAAUUCCACGUGUAGCGGUGAAAUGCGUAGAGAUGUGGAGGAACACCAGUGGCGAAGGCGACUCUCUGGUCUGUAACUGACGCUGAGGAGCGAAAGCGUGGGGAGCGAACAGGAUUAGAUACCCUGGUAGUCCACGCCGUAAACGAUGAGUGCUAAGUGUUAGGGGGUUUCCGCCCCUUAGUGCUGCAGCUAACGCAUUAGGCACUCCGCCUGGGGAGUACGGUCGCAAGACUGAAACUCAAAGGAAUUGACGGGGGCCCGCACAAGCGGUGGAGCAUGUGGUUUAAUUCGAAGCAACGCGAAGAACCUUACCAGGUCUUGACAUCCUCUGACAAUCCUAGAGAUAGGACGUCCCCUUCGGGGGCAGAGUGACAGGUGGUGCAUGGUUGUCGUCAGCUCGUGUCGUGAGAUGUUGGGUUAAGUCCCGCAACGAGCGCAACCCUUGAUCUUAGUUGCCAGCAUUCAGUUGGGCACUCUAAGGUGACUGCCGGUGACAAACCGGAGGAAGGUGGGGAUGACGUCAAAUCAUCAUGCCCCUUAUGACCUGGGCUACACACGUGCUACAAUGGACAGAACAAAGGGCAGCGAAACCGCGAGGUUAAGCCAAUCCCUCAAAUCUGCUCUCAGUUCGGAUCGCAGUCUGCAACUCGACUGCGUGAAGCUGGAAUCGCUAGUAAUCGCGGAUCAGCAUGCCGCGGUGAAUACGUCCCCGGGCCUUGUACACACCGCCCGUCACACCACGAGAGUUUGUAACACCCGAAGUCGGUGAGGUAACCUUUUGGGAGCCAGCCGCCGAAGGUGGGACAGAUGAUUGGGGUGAAGUCGUAACAAGGUAGCCGUAUCGGAAGGUGCGGCUG
rnacentral:rRNA from 1 species